rnacentral:rRNA from 1 species
UACAGAGGGUGCGAGCGUUGUUCGGAAUUAUUGGGCGUAAAGGGCGCGUAGGCGGUGCGGUAAGUCACCUGUGAAAUCUCCUGGCUCAACUGGGAGCUUGCAGGCGAAACUGCCGUGCUGGAGUGUGGGAGAGGUGCGUGGAAUUCCUGGUGUAGCGGUGAAAUGCGUAGAUAUCAGGAGGAACACCUGUGGCGAAAGCGGCGCACUGGCCCGGUACUGACGCUGAGGUGCGAAAGCGUGGGGAGCAAACAGG